rnacentral:rRNA from 1 species
UACGUAGGGGGCGAGCGUUGUCCGGAUUUAUUGGGCGUAAAGAGCUCGUAGGCGGCUUGGCAAGUCGGGUGUGAAACCUCCAGGCUCAACCUGGAGACGCCACUCGAUACUGCCAUGGCUAGAGUCCGGUAGGGGACCACGGAAUUCCUGGUGUAGCGGUGAAAUGCGCAGAUAUCAGGAGGAACACCGGUGGCGAAGGCGGGUCUCUGGGCAACAACUGACGCUGAGGAGCGAAAGCGUGGGGAGCGAACAGG